rnacentral:rRNA from 1 species
GACGAACGCUGGCGGCGUGCUUAACACAUGCAAGUCGAACGGAAAGUCCCUGCUUUUGUGGGGUGCUCGUGUUGCGAACGGGUGAGUAACACGUGAGUAACCUGCCCUUGACUUUGGUAUAACUUCAGGAAACUUGGGCUAUUACCGGAUAGGAUCUCCUGCUGCAUGGUGGGGGUUGGAUAGUUUCGGCGGUUGGGGAUGGACUCGCGGCUUAUCAGCUUGUUGGUUGGGUAGUGGCUUACCAAGGCUUUGACGGGUAGCCGGACUGAGAGGGUGACCGGCCAAAAUGGGACUGAGAUACGGACCAGACUGCUACGGGAGGCAGAAGUGGGGAAAAUUGCACAAUGGGCGGAAGCGUGAUGCAGAAACGCCGCGGGCGGGAUGACGGCCUUCGGGUUGUAAACCGAAUUCGCCUGUGACGAAGAGUGAGUGACGGUAAUGGGUAAAGAAGCACCGGCUAACUACGUG